rnacentral:tRNA from 1 species
CGGGGUGUGGUAUAACGGUAUUACGUACGAUUCGGGUUCGUAAAAUCCGAGUUCAAUUCUCGGCACCCCGACCA